AUACUUACCUGACAGGGGAGAUUCCAGGCAGAGGAUUGUCCAUUGCACUCUGUACGUGCUAGCUCCUGCAAUUUCCCCAAAUGAGGGAAAUUGCAUAAUUUGUGGUAGUAAGGGACUUCAUUCAUGCUUUCUUAGA
ensembl:snRNA U1 U1 spliceosomal RNA